GAUCCUGGCUCAGGACGAACGCUGGCGGCGUGCUUAACACAUGCAAGUCGAACGAUGAAAGAGAAUCCGAUCUCUUCGGAGUGAAGAAUCUCUGGAUUAGUGGCGGACGGGUGAGUAACGCGUGAGCAAUCUGCCUUACACAAAGGGAUAGCCUCGGGAAACCGGGAUUAAUACCAUAUGAUAUCUAUUAACCGCAUGGUUUAUAGAUUAAAGAAUUUCGGUGUAAGAUGAGCUCGCGU
rnacentral:rRNA from 1 species